GGUUUGAAUAAGAGUAUUUAGUUGUGGCUAGAAAGGCGGAUGAAUUCGGGACUAAACCGAAGAAUAUAGUGCGUGUGUGAACGCUGGGCAUUUAACGCUUUGACUAGGCCCAAGUCUCCCUUUAGGGCAAUUUACCUCAAACACAAAUGUUCUGUUAAAACCCCAUUAUUAUUAUUAUUUUUAUUUUUUUGGGUUGGGGUUAUGUAACGUCUCUUUUGUCAUUUAUACAUUAUUUAAAUUUACUAAUAGCUUUUCUUUCCCCAGUUUUUAUCAUUAUUUUAAACCAUAGACAACUUGAGUGUUUGCUGACAGGCUCACCGGUUGUUUUCUCCACAUUAACAGAGAAGGGCUCAUCGAGUGUCGUACUGGCAUCAGACGCCGCAGUACAUUCCUCGUCCAUCCAAGAACAGAGGUUUCUGCAGAAGUCCAUGUUUUCCAGCACUGGAGCCACCUCUCCGUUCACUCCUUCACCAAACACAGGUACUGUUGCUGCCAUCGCGUGGACAACCACAGGCUGUGUCGCUUCACUCAGAAAGUCUUCGAGUUCACUCAUGUGUUCGCUCGUAAAAUAAGUCGACAGAUGUUCGUUAUCCAUUAGAUUUGGUGAAAAUCUGUUAACACGUCCAAAUAAUGAUCCUUACAGUAGCUUGGAUGAUCACUGAACUGAUGUAAGAAAUGUAAGUUAUGCGAGCGAACACUGGAGCCACCUCUCCGCUCACUCCUUCACCAAACACAGGUACUGUUGCUGCCAUCGCGUGGACAACCACAGGCUGUGUCGCUUCACUCAGAAAGUCUUCGAGUUCACUCAUGUGUUCGCUCGUAAAAUAAGUCGACAGAUGUUCGUUAUCCAUUAGAUUUGGUGAAAAUCUGUUAACACGUCCAAAUAAUGAUCCUUACAGUAGCUUGGAUGAUCACUGAACUGAUGUAAGAAAUGUAAGUUAUGCGAGCGUUUAUGUUCUAUUGAGUGACGUCACUUUUGGAAUAUAUCUAACAGCGUCUCAGGGCCUCGUGUUUUUUUAUAAAUAUUCUUUAAGUAUUACUCCGCUUAGACUGUUUUGGGGUCAUUUUUAUUGAUUUAUUCAUUUACAAUGUAUCGUCGUAAACAAUAAACAACAGUCCCUGUCAUGGUCUGCCUCAGAAAAAGCUUGUUGAAUAGCAAAAACUGAAAAAAAGGCAUUGAAUUGACAAGUGCUUGCAUUAAAAAU